GACAGAGGGUGCAAACGUUGCUCGGAAUCACUGGGCGUAAAGGGCGCGUAGGCGGCCUGUUAAGUCGAACGUGAAAUCCCCGGGCUCAACCCGGGAACUGCGUCCGAUACUGGCAGGCUUGAAUUCGGGAGAGGGAUGUGGAAUUCCAGGUGUAGCGGUGAAAUGCGUAGAUAUCUGGAGGAACACCGGUGGCGAAGGCGGCAUCCUGGACCGAUAUUGACGCUGAUGCGCGAAAGCCAGGGGAGCAGACGGG
rnacentral:rRNA from 1 species